GCAAGUAAAAAAAUACUUGUAAGCAAUGUUUUAUUUGAAAUGCGAAAACUUUAUUUUCUCUCACUUUUAAUCGCAUGGGAAUUCGUGUUUUAUUUAAGAGCAUGGAAUCAUCGCAUGGCCUCAAAUUGAAUCUGAUAAAAGGGUUGCUUAUCGAGUUUCUACCAGCUGCCUUCUCACCGGUUCCGCAUUCUAAUCACCUUAUUUCACUCCAUCCAUGCCAAUGGGUGAGGACAGACCUAAUUGAAUGGUGUAGCCUACUUGUAGUUGACAACAGAAAAAAAAUAACUUAUUUUACUUUCUUGAGGAUGUAUAAAUGAUUAGCAUAAUUGGUGACUUUGAACUUGAGAAAAAAAAAAUCCCAUUCCCAGCACAUUAAGAAUUCCUUUAUUUUCUAGGGUGGCUCUCAGUUAUGAGUGGGGCUUAUGACAACUUUUAUUAUUUAUUGCAUGCAUGUGAGACUGUUUAACCUGUUUUAAUUGACCUGACCAGACCAGGUCAACAAUGUAGAAAAUGCUGAAAUAGGCUUGCCCUUGAGCAUGACUCUGUUCCAUUAUAUUACACAAGAGUCAUUGGAUGAAGGCGUCUUCUGUAAGGGGGAGUUUUGUUAUGAUUCUCCUAAAAUCAAUCUGAACAUAAACAAGUGUCGCUUGCGGUACGGGUUUGGAAGCAUAAGGACCUGAUCUUUCAUAUCAGCGAUAAAUUAUUUACAAAAAAAACACAAUGUUAUUUAUACACCUUGUUAGUGUUACCCAAGGCCAUAUCUCCAUAUUACAGCGAUUGUUUACGGAAGACAUGAGGCGACCACCUGUACUAAGUAUCAAGCAUGCUCUGAACACCAGAACCUAAACGUAACAUGGGAAGUGUAGUUGUCGGAUGGAGGCCCCGUAUUGAGCUGUACAAAACUGCUACAGCCUAUGCACCAGUAAAGAGUUCUGGAGUUCAGACAUAGACCAAUGUGUAUCCUGCUCAACAUGCAAGCAGUAUCCAAAGACCCCUUCAUGUAACACUUGCACAUUUACAGAGGAGAGAUCUGAUGUCUGGAGACUGGCAGCCAUUUCCAGCUUCUCUGUGCUGGCAGUCGUUCUGCUCAUUGCAGUAUUGAUCAUUGGGGUCAUGGUGCAUCGACGCACGGCAAACAAUAGGCCCCUUCGUGAACCUAUUGAAGAGACAACGGGACCUCUUUACCAAGCUUAAACAUUUCAGUAGCUUCAUCUUCCUUCUGACAUCGAUGUGACAGAACCAAGGGAACACCUUUUGAGGACCAAUCGUCAGAAGAAUUUCUGUACAAUGGACUGUGGGUAUUAUUUGAGUAGAGUUUGACCAUCUUGAAUUUAUACUGCUAGUUAGUAAAGAUGUGCUCACACUCAUUAGACUGUCACAGAACGGAGCUCUCACAUAGAACUGUGUUGAGUCACGCUGUCAAUCCCGUCUUGUCUGAAGUCAGACUGUACUCUGAGGAAGACCGUGUGGUUAGUAAAGGGUAGCUCUUUUCUUUUUAAAGGGUAGCUCUUUUCUUUUUAAAGGGUAGCUCUUUUCUUUUUAAAGGGUAGCUCUUUUCUUUUUAAAGGGUAGCUCUUUUCUUUUUAAAGGGUAGCUCUUUUCUUUUUAAAGGGUAGCUCUUUUCUUUUUAAAGGGUAGCUCUUUUCUUUUUAAAGGGUAGCUCUUUUCUUUUUAAAGGGUAGCUCUCACAGCUCUUUUUGUAUUGGUGUCCUUUGACUAGUGAUGCUAGUUUUAGCCAGUGUAGAUAUUCCAAUCUAUCGAUAAGUCAUUUGUUCAACAAUAAGUAGGUUCAAAAACAGUAGUGAACAUGAGACACAUCUUGAAUGAUUUGUAUUUAUUACCUUAACUGUCAAUGCUUGAACACCUAUUGGUGUCAGACAUAUUGUACAUUUAGCUUAUUAGGUAGAAUACCAGAAAACACACUGCCUCGACUUGCCACAAGCAGGAUGAAUGUGAAUACAGCACAAUCAAGCUUUCUGUGCCAGGUUUGACCUGCUGUACUU